GAUAAACGCUGGCGGCGUGCAUGAGACAUGCAAGUCGAACGAAGGAUCGGGCUUGCUCGAUCCUUAGUGGCGGACGGCUGAGUAACGCGUAGGUGACCUACCCCGAGGUGGGGAAUAACUGCCCGAAAGGGCGGCUAAUACCGCAUGUGGUCGCACGUUCAUUCGUGCGAGUAAAGCCGCAAGGCGCUUCGGGAGGGGCCUGCGUCCGAUUAGCUCGUUGGUGGGGUAAUGGCUUACCAAGGCGACGAUCGGUAGGUGGUCUGAGAGGACGAUCACCCAGACUGGGACUGAGACACGGCCCAGACUCCUACGGGAGGCAGCAGUCGGGAAUUUUGCUCAAUGGGGGAAACCCUGAAGCAGCAACGCCGCGUGAGGGAUGAAGGCCUUCGGGUUGUAAACCUCUUUUGUCAGGGACGAUGAUGACGGUACCUGGCGAAUAAGCCACGGCUAACUACGUG
rnacentral:rRNA from 1 species